rnacentral:rRNA from 1 species
CAGUCGCCGCGGGAAUACGAAGGGUGCAAGCGUUACUCGGAAUUACUGGGCGUAAAGCGUGCGUAGGUGGUGGUUUAAGUCCGUUGUGAAAGCCCUGGGCUCAACCUGGGAAUUGCAGUGGAUACUGGGUCACUAGAGUGUGGUAGAGGAUAGUGGAAUUUCCGGUGUAGCAGUGAAAUGCGUAGAGAUCGGAAGGAACAUCUGUGGCGAAGGCGGCCAUCUGGGACAACACUGACGCUGAGGCACGAAAGCGUGGGGAGCAAACAGGAUUAGAGACCCCUGUAGUCCCUGUCUCUUAUAU